GAACGCUGGCGGCAGGCCUAACACAUGCAAGUCGAGCGGAUGAGUGGAGCUUGCUCCAUGAUUCAGCGGCGGACGGGUGAGUAAUGCCUAGGAAUCUGCCUGGUAGUGGGGGACAACGUUUCGAAAGGAACGCUAAUACCGCAUACGUCCUACGGGAGAAAGCGGGGGGAUCUUCGGACCUCGCGCCAUUAGAUGAGCCUAGGUCGGAUUAGCUAGUUGGUGAGGUAAUGGCUCACCAAGGCGACGAUCCGUAACUGGUCUGAGAGGAUGAUCAGUCACACUGGAACUGAGACACGGUCCAGACUCCUACGGGAGGCAGCAGUGGGGAAUAUUGGACAAUGGGCGAAAGCCUGAUCCAGCCAUGCCGCGUGUGUGAAGAAGGUCUUCGGAUUGUAAAGCACUUUAAGUUGGGAGGAAGGGUAGUAACCUAAUACGUUGCUACUUUGACGUUACCGACAGAAUAAGCACCGGCUAACUUCGUG
rnacentral:rRNA from 1 species